UCUGAUGCAGUGACACUUCGUGUGGGAUGAAGGCCCUCGGGUCGUAAACCACUGUGAUAGGAGAAAACUAAAGAUGGUACCCUAUUAGAAAGCACCUGCUAACCACGUGCCAGAAGCCUCGGUAAUACGUGGGGUGCAAGCGUUAUCCGGAUUUAUUGGGCGUAAAGAGUAUCGUAGGCGGUUUGUUAAGUAUCGGGUUAAAGCCUGGGGCUCAACUCCAGAGAUGCUCGAUAAACUGGCAGACUAGCGGUUGUUCGGAGAUGUCGGAAUUCUUGGUGGAGGAGUGAAAUCCGUUGAUAUCAAGAAGAACACCAAAAGCGAAGGCAGGCAUCUAGGAUAUACCGGACGCUGAUGAACGAAAGCUAGGGGAGCGAAAGGGAUUAGAGACCCCUGUAGUCCUAGCCGUAAACUAUGAACACUAGCUAUUUCCCGUAAGGGGAGUGGCGUAAGCUAACGCGUUAAGUGUUCCGCCUGGGGAGUACGGCCGCAAGGCUAAAACUCAAAGGAAUUGACGGGGAAACGCACAAUCAGCGUGCCAUGUGGUUUAAUUGGAUACGAAACCUUGAACCUUACCUGGGUUUGACAUGUACCUGCAAAUCUCUGGAAACAGAGACGCCUUCGAGGGUGGUACACAGCUGCUGCAUGGUUGUCGUCAGUUCGUGUCGUGAGGCGUCUAUUUAAGUAUAGUAACGAACGCAACCCCUGUGCUAUGUUAAAUAUCCAUAGCAGACUGCCACGGUUUUUUCCGUGGAGGAAGGAGGGGAUGACGUCAAAUCAUCAUGGCGCUUAUAUCCAGGGCUACACACAUGGCGUAAUGGAUGAGACAACGGGGUGCGAAGCCGCGAGGCGGAGCAAAUCCUAAUAAACUCAUCCUCAGUUCGGAUCGCAGGCUGCAAUUCGCCUGCGUGAAGGGGAGUUGAUAGUAAUCGCAGAUCAGCAACACUGCGGUGAAUACGUUCUCGUUUCUUGUACACACUGCCCGUCAAGUCAACAAAGUCAGUAGUGCCCGAAGUAGGUACCCAUAACCGCAAGGAUUGGGCCUCCUAAGGUAAGACUGGCGAUGGGGGCUAAGUCGUAAACUUAUUGCGACCAUAGAGAGUAAUUUCUAUGAAAAAUCUCGCUGUAUCGGUGAAGCCUAAACAUUCGGUAUACUUUCGGGUAUACUGGAGAUAUGGUAAUACCGAGGGAACCUGUUUCUGAGACAUCAGAGAUAGGACUCCGUAGAGACUACACGCGAGCGCCGCAAAUAUCGAAAGCUUAUAUAGUUGGUAUCCUUCAUGAUGCUACCAAAAGAAAGACUACUUUCAGGGUUUCACAAAAAUCCUCUAAGUUUGUCGAAAUGGUGGCUAAUGGAAUUAGAAGUUUGGGCGGAAACGCCUGGACUUAUAAAGAAGGAAGUAAUCGAAGUGUAUAUAUCGUUGAAUUUUCAAAAUCUUUUCUAAAAGAAUUUGAGAUUGUUUCCGAAAGGGACAAAAUUGAUUAUAUUCGAGGUUAUUUUGAUGCCGAUGGAGGGGUGGCAAAGAGCAGCAAAGUUAGAUUUUAUAUCUACUUUGCCCAGAAGGAUUAUUCUGAUCUCGAACAAGUAAGAAAUUAUUUGAAAGAGAUUCGCAUAGAUUGUGGAGUAAUCCAUAAUCCAAGCAAAAGGAUUGAUCCGUAUUAUUGGAGAUUUUUUGUAAAAGCAAAAUCUUAUGUAGAUUUUGUACAGAAAAUUGGUUCUUUGCAUCCGGAAAAAGCAAAAUAUUUGUGGAUGAAGAUAUAGUCCAUGCCACUAGAAAUACGUGGAAUUUCAUGAACAAGGUAUCCGUACUGGAAGGUGCGGAUGGAUCACCUCCUU
rnacentral:rRNA from 1 species